AUGCGUCCCCAGCUCCAGCCGCAUCUCGCCGCCUCUAUGGCAUCUCUGGGGCUUCAGAGGGAAGCUGCCCGACCCGGAGGCUUGAAAUCCGCCCUUUGUUCCCUCCCGGGACGUCAGAGCCACAACUCACUAAGGGCGGCCGCCUCGGCAGCCGGAAGCGCGGGCCAGCGGCAACUUCGGGUCUGCGCAGGCGCAGGCCGGGGAAGCCGGGAGCGGCCGGGUUUCUGUGGCCCGCGGCUGCCCUCUCGUGGCCGCAAGGCGGCAUGGCACGGCCGCUUCCACGCAGCGGCGUUGGGCGGGAGGCGGCAGGGCAGGCCAGCCGGGGAGGCCAGCCAAACGCUGUGUUUUUCCAGGUCCGCGCGGGCCAGGGGAACCCUGCGUGUUUGCUUGAUGGGAGUGGUUUACUGGGAAACUAGACGGAAGCUGGGUGUGCCCGAGUCUUCUCCUAUCUCCUGAUUGUGCGUUGUCCUUCAGCUUUUUGUGCCCCACCCUGUUCUUGUCUCAAGAAGUCGACUUGGAAUGUUUCCUCUUGUCCGCGGUUUGAAGAUGAGUCACCAAAAACAUCACCCUGCCCUUGCGGAAGUGCGUGUUGGCUGCUCGGCCAUUUCACCUGUAUGCCCCAGGAUGGUUUGCUAAGGAGAUGGUUUCUUCAGGGCUCCACUCUUUUUCAUGCCCUUCUCAGCUCCAGACUACAUCCCAUCGAUGGACAUUAUCCUGUACCCCCCGGGGGAGGAGAGUGGGGGAGAGUUUCUGUGCCUGGAUUAUUGGUGGAGGAGAGCAAGUGCAGCAAUGAAGCUAUGACUUUUGCAGAAGUCAUGCAUUCCGUUCAAGGAUAGUCCUUUCUGUAGCCUCCACACAUUCCCUCUCACUGCAGGCCCCUGGGGUUUUACUGUGUGACCGGGUCAUAUUGCAUCUGCAUAGAUUAUCAACGCACCUCAUGACUGUGGAGGAAGAAGUCUGGGACAGAACAUGGGUCUGGAAGGCUCGCAGCAUGGACUUGGUCAGGUGACACAAUGUCCCAUGUUCUUCAAGAAGUGUCUAGACUAGGUGACUGAUUCUAUUGGAGAUCUAGCACAGUGCUCUUGCCACAGAGAGGGGCAAAUUGAGAUCCAGAGAGAAGUGACCGGCCCAGGUCACUCAGCCAGCUGGUGACUGAGCUGGAAAUCAUUCCCAGGUCUCCUGACACCCAGUUCAUUCAUUUUUUGCACAUACUUCCAAGGAUUUACUGUAUGCUAGGCACUGUUCUGGGUGCUGGGAAUCUACGAAGUGCCUGUAUAGAGUUUGUGUCUUGUAGUGUGUAUGUGGGGAGGUUGUGGAUAAACAAAUAAACAGAUUUAUCCAGAAUGCCACAUGGUUAAAAGUUUUGAUGAUACUCAGUGCCUCUUCUCUUGUUUUUGAAGGGAAUGGGUUUGAGGCUUGGGAGGAGAUGUUCACUCAUACAUUCGGUCAUUAAAUAAACAUUAGAGGAUGUCUCACUAUGUGCCAGAUGCUGUGCAGGGCACACAGAUAUACAGGGAGGGUCUGCCUUCAAAAGCCACCACCCAGCUGGGCAGAUAAGCUAUGCCUCUUAGCAUCUUUACAUGGAUUUCUGUAAUUGUUAUGCUGAUUGUUUUUUUCUCCAGAUCUCUCCCAAAAAAGGACACUUGUAGAAACGAUGAUUCUGAAAUGGUACAAAACCCUUCCCCAAAAGGGAAAGCCAGCCACUGCUACUGACUUAUUGAUGGC
ensembl:lncRNA